rnacentral:rRNA from 1 species
AGGGUUCGAUCAUGGCUCAGAACGUACGCUGGCGGCACGCCUAACACAUGCAAGUCGAACGAAGUAGCAAUACUUAGUGGCAGACGGGUGAGUAACAUGUAGGUAUCUGCCCUUUGGCCUGGAAUAACACGAGGAAACUUGUGCUAAUACCGGAUAAGUCUUUACAGAGAAAGCUUUAUGCACCAUUGGAUGAGCCUGCACUUGAUUAGUUUGUUGGUGGGGUAGUGGCCUACCAAGACUGUGAUCAAUAGCUGAUUUGAGAGGAUGAUCAGCCACAUUGGGACUGAGACACGGCCCAAACUCCUACGGGAGGCAGCAGUGGGGAAUCUUGCACAAUGGAGGAAACUCUGAUGCAGCGAUGCCGCGUGAGUGAAGAAGGCCUUUGGGUUGUAAAGCUCUUUCGUCGGGGAAGAAAAUGACUGUACCCGAAUAAGAAGGUCCGGCUAACUUCGUGCCAGCAGCCGCGGUAAUACGAAGGGACCUAGCGUAGUUCGGAAUUACUGGGCUUAAAGAGUUCGUAGGUGGUUGAAAAAGUUAGUGGUGAAAUCCCAGAGCUUAACUCUGGAACUGCCAUUAAAACUUUUCAGCUAGAGUAUGAUAGAGGAAAGCAGAAUUUCUAGUGUAGAGGUGAAAUUCGUAGAUAUUAGAAAGAAUACCAAUUGCGAAGGCAGCUUUCUGGAUCAUUACUGACACUGAGGAACGAAAGCAUGGGUAGCGAAGAGGAUUAGAUACCCUCGUAGUCCAUGCCGUAAACGAUGUGUGUUAGACGUUGGAAAUUUAUUUUCAGUGUCGCAGGGAAACCGAUAAACACACCGCCUGGGGAGUACGACCGCAAGGUUAAAACUCAAAUGAAUUGACGGGGACCCGCACAAGUAGUGGAGCAUGUGGUUUAAUUCGAAGAUACGCGCAGAACCUUACCAACACUUGACAUGUUCGUCGCGACUCUAAGAGAUUARAGUUUUCGGUUCGGCCGGACGAAACACAGGUGCUGCAUGGCUGUCGUCAGCUCGUGUCGUGAGAUGUUGGGUUAAGUCCCGCAACGAGCGCAACCCUCACUUUUAGUUGCCAUCAUUAAGUUGGGCACUCUGAAAGAACUGCCAGUGAUAAGCUGGAGGGAGGUGGGGAUGACGUCAAGUCCUCAUGGCCCUUACGUGUUGGGCUACACACGUGCUACAAUGGUAUCUACAACAGGAAGCAAGACUGCGAAGUUAAGCAAAUCCCUAAAAGAUACCUCAGUUCGGAUUGCACUCUGCAACUCGAGUGCAUGAAGCUGGAAUUACUAGUUAUCGUGGAUCGGCGUGCCACGGUGAAUGCGUUCCCGGGUCUUGUACACACCGCCCGUCACACCAUGGGAGUUGGUUCAACCUUAAGGCAAGGUUUCAAACCCUUGACCACGGUAUAGUCAGCGACUGGGGUGAAGUCGUAACAAGGUAGCCA